UGGCGAUUAAUAUGAGUACCUAGUGGGCUAUUUUUGGUAAGCAGAACUGGCGCUGUGGGAUGAACCAAACGUCGAGUUAAGGGGCCUAAAUGAAUGCUCAUUCAGAUCCCAUCGAAAGGCGUUGGUUGCUWWAGACAGCAGGACGGUGGCCAUGGAAGUUGGAAUCCGCUAAGGAGUGUGUAACAACUCACCUGCCGAAGCAACUAGCCCUUAAAAUGGUAUGGCGCUAAAGCAUUCUCCCGAUACUCGACCGCCGGGGCACUAGCGGCCACGUCCCAGAGGCGAGGUCUCGAAGCCCCGGUGAGUAAGAGGGUCGCAGUGGUGAGCGCUGAAGGGAUCCGGCGUGAGCCGGCCUGGAGCCUCCACUGGUGCAGAUCUUGGUGGUAGUAGCAAAUACUCGAGAGAGACUCCCUUGAAGACCGAAGUGGAGAAGGGUUCCAUGUGAACAUCAGUUGGACAUGGGUUAGUCGCUCCUAAGCCCAAGGCA
rnacentral:rRNA from 1 species